UACGUAGGCAGCAAGCGUUGUUCGGAAUUACUGGGCGUAAGGAGUGUGUAGGCGGUUUUCUAAGUUCGGUGUGAAAUCUCCCGGCUUAACUGGGAGGGUGCGCCGGAAACUGGAGGACUGGAGUGCCGGAGAGGAUAGCGGAAUUCCCGGUGUAGCGGUGAAAUGCGUAGAUAUCAGGAGGAACACCUGCGGUGUAGACGGCUAUCUGGACGGUUACUGACGCUGAGACACGAAAGCGUGGGUAGCAAACAGG
rnacentral:rRNA from 1 species